rnacentral:rRNA from 1 species
UGGGGAAUAUUGCACAAUGGGCGAAAGCCUGAUGCAGCGACGCCGCGUGAGGGAUGACGGCCUUCGGGUUGUAAACCUCUUUCAGCAGGGAAGAAGCCACAAGUGACGGUACCUGCAGAAGAAGCGCCGGCUAACUACGUGCCAGCAGCCGCGGUAAUACGUAGGGCGCAAGCGUUGUCCGGAAUUAUUGGGCGUAAAGAGCUCGUAGGCGGUUUGUCGCGUCUGCUGUGAAAGCCCGGGGCUUAACCCCGGGUGUGCAGUGGGUACGGGCAGACUAGAGUUCAGUAGGGGAGACUGGAAUUCCUGGUGUAGCGGUGGAAUGCGCAGAUAUCAGGAGGAACACCGAUGGCGAAGGCAGGUCUCUGGGCUGUUACUGACGCUGAGGAGCGAAAGCAUGGGGAGCGAACA